AGUUACCGAAUGCUCGUUUCAGAGCACUGAAUUUAUUCUUGUCAUUACGAAGUCUUCCGGACCGUGCGCCGCCAUUUUGGGCAUGUACGCAUGCGCAUGAAGAGAUACCAAGCGACACAACCUUUCUUAUCUUGCCCUUAAUUAAUCGCUUGCAGGCCGCGCGAAAAUUGAAUCAGCGGAUUGUUUACACAGCAGCGGGUUUAUAGAGUGAGAACACCACGGAGUUUACGCCCACGGCGACCAUCAUUGUUCCUUUGAAGUCGGUUUGUGCAAUUCGCAAGGACACUUCCUUCAUCAUGGUUUGUGCGUCCUUCCUCCAUGGAGUGACACGGAAGUAGGCCUACAGUGCAAGACAAACUCUCAGUCUCACUUAGCCCCACUAGUGUGGCACGGACUCUCACUCCCGAUCGGGAGUGAUCCGUGCCACACUAGUGGGGCUAAGUCUCACUCAGCUCGGCUAAGCCGGUUGUAAAUCAUAUCGGCCUCUUUAGUUUCAGCAUAACAUCGUGUAUGCCUUGGCCUUUUUAAUAAUUAUUCAAAUACAUCACCGUACUACAUGGUUGGUCAGCGAGAACGAUGACAGAUGAGGGUCCUGAAAUUUCACCAGCAUUUUUUACAGCAUUAAAGGAUUCUCUCAAGAGUUCGCCUGUAGGGCAAGACUCAGCUUUGCCACUUUCUCAAGCCCACUGCGCAGAGUCAGUUGGAGUGCAGAUGGAUUUGCACCGGGGAUAUUGAAACCUUCCGGACAGAGUGAAAUUUCGACACCAUUUCAGCAAGGAGAGAUAUCAACUGGGGAAAAAACCGGAGGAGUGAUGCCCGCACCCACUCUGCAGUACUCCAGAAGCAGUAUGCCUACGUCAGUAGCUUGAUUAACUGUCCAAUCAGCUUUAAUUCCUCAGAGAGACACCAUCCCCAGUGCCAUCUACAAGAUGCAUGCCGUCACCACCCUUGAUUGAGAUCAACCUGUGGCUGCAGAUUCCUCCUUGAUGUGUGCAGUACCAGCUGUCCUCGGUGGAUCCUCUUCCACUACUCAAAGUACUAGCAUGACUAGUGAAUGUCCGGAUGCUGGUACCAUACGGAACCAGUUGCAAUCACGAAGCGUUGCACAGAAGAACACUGCAAUUUGAAGGGAGCUCCAUCCAUAAUGCUGUUAUUACAGUAUUGGUGAAUGUCUUGCUCAUGAACACAAGCUCAAACCGGCGGGUGGACCUGAAACCACCCAGGGUUGAGUGACUAAUCCUAGCUCUAGUCUCAACAACAUGCACAAGCAGGGGGACCUGAGCAUCUAACCAUCCAGGGUUGAGUGGCCAAUCCUAGUCUCAGCAACAUGAACCAGCAGCACUUUGUUUGCUGUGACCUGCUUUCAUGGAGAUGCCAUUGACUGGCUGAAGGAGCAUAUAUGUAGGUUCACUUCAUUUAUCAUCCACUCUAAAAUCAAAGGGAGCCUGACUAUUUCACUUCAGUUGCAGGCAAGAGAACAUUAGCGUUUCAAACAAGGUGAAGUGGUUCCUGUCUACCAUGGUACAAUGUACUUGGAGGGGCUUCACCUCACAAAACUUUGCCAGUGCAAACGGGAUGCUCUGAAGCUGAAUAUUGUACAGCAUUUGUCUUGACAUAGUAAACAGGGUUCAGGCUUGAAACAGGGAGUGUAGAUGUUUUUAGUAAAAAAACAACAAAUUUUGCCGGACAGCUUUUACUUCGAACAUCUAACCAAAGAAACACAGUUCACUAACAUUGUUCUUGCACCUGCUUCUUUUGUUACAUGUAGAUGAUCACAGUGUUUGGUAUCAAGGGUGUAGUUUUGUCUCUAGAGAAAGAAAUAAUCAUAUUUUAAAGCAUAGCUGCAAUGCAAUUUUCUUCAAAGCAAUUUUUUUAACUUUCUACGCUUAUUAGAUGUGUUUUUAUGUUCCUAUUUGGUUACAUACAUUGAAAAGUGCACAUUUUUAACACAAUUAUUCAAGCUUUCCUGGACAACUGAGGGCGCUAUUGCUAUGAAGUCCAGGGGAGACAUGUUUCAGCACAGAAGUUUUUAGCAUUUCUGAUAAAGAGAUUAAUGCUUGCUAAUUGCUGUGAUCAAAAACGAUAAUGGAUCAGUAAAGACGUGAAAAUUUUGUCCAGUAAAUUCUCCAAACAUGAGGGACUUCUGAGUACAAACCAAUAUAACAUUGAGACUUUCUUCCUGUGAUGACAUCACACUUGCUCUGAAUAAGGAAAUUACUUAUUGGCAUAAAAACCUAAAAGGCAGUAAAUUAAUUAACCUUUGAAAAAGUGAAAGAAAGCCCAACAUAUGGUUAACUAGGGAAUAGGGGGAUGCAUAUUGAAGGUUUGUAUUCAAACAAAUUGAUUGCAGCUACCCUUCAAGUUGGUUUCCAAAAGUUAUCAUUAAGUUUGAACAAUCAGUAUUUUGCAUUCUGUGCAUUCGAUAGACUAAGUUGUGUACUCAAAGUUGUAUGUUCAAAAUCUGUCAAAUUGUUUGUGACUGCACAAAAUUAUAAUUAUGCCUUUUGCUGCUGUGAAUAAAUGUAGAUAGAAUAGAACUCUUUUGAAAUUUUGGGGAAGCUUGAAAAAAGCUGAGUAUUACUCAAAACCUUCUUUUUUUCUCCCGAUUUGGAUUGUGCAGUGUAAAUUUCUCUCAUAUUCUACAUGUAAGUCACAGGUAGCUUGAACAUGAGACUUGUUACUACCAAAUUUUCUCAGAGAUGCUUCUGAUUGAAAGAAAUUUCCAUGCCUGCAAAAUCUUUUCGCCAGUUUUUUUGCGACAGAUGCAUACAAAGAAUAUCAAAAUAUUUUAGUAGUUACAUGUAGUAUAGAAGUGCUUGUACCUACUUGUUUGACAUGAAUUCAUAUUAAACUGGAAUACAUCAAAGUCUGUAUCUA